CACACCCGUUCACGUCCGCCUCCCGCUGCAGCGCUACAUUCCCGCCACAGACUUGCCGCUUGAUCUUCGCUUCACAGCGCCUCCUUCCUUCUCCGCUCACAACUGUAUAAUAACGUCACACUUCUUAAGAUCCUCACCUAACUCGUUCGUCUCUCUCCCUCUCUGUGUAUUUCUUACAUCCAGCCUCUCCGGUAUUUCUGCGGCCAUCAGGUGACCUCCCCGUGAUCAUGCAAAUCGAGUCCUCCUCGGCGACGGCGGCGUCUUCUCUAGAGGGACGCCGCCGCCGCCUCGUUGUGUCCACGCCUGCGCCACCGUCGAACCCGUGCGCCGGCAGCACAAUGUCAGCCAUGCCCCCUACUCCGGCAACGCUGCGGUCAAACCCCGUGGCAGCGCCGGCCACCAGCCGCUUUGAGACGACGAGCCCCACGUCGACCAGCAAGCCAACGUCUGCUUCUGCGAACGGCGAGUGCAGUACACGGUCGUCUCCUGGCACACGGUCUCGCGCCACGGUGGCCUCACGCGGCUCAACACUCGUGGUCGUGCCCCCGAACACCUCUGUGUCGCAGCUUGGCACCAGCACAAAAAGGUCCUCGAGGAGGAAGUUACCUCUGAAGCGCAAAGGAACGGCGCGCACCUACAAGCCAGUGCCUCUCACGGCGGUCGGCAUUGGGGCAUUGAUUUCGUCCCACACCCCACCGACCUCCAGCCCCGUCCUAUCCUCUGGCACUUCUCGCUCACCGCGCGUAUUAAUUUCGCCAGGUGUCCGAGAAAGAGCCAGCCGCACUCGUGCCAACUGUACCUCAUCUCUGCCUCCGAGCUCCACCGCCACGUCUGUGCCGUGCGCCCUCUACGAUUUGCAUCACGCUCUCCAGCACCGGCUUGUCGAGGACCUCGGGUGGUCCCUCCACUGGUACUUGGACACAGAGACGGAGAUCAAACAGCUGGAGGUGUUCAAGGAGCUGGAAGAGAAGACCAAGCACCCCUCCCACAAAAAGAAGGACAAGCCGACCGCAGCCGCAGCGGAGGGGAGGGCGAAUGAAGCAGCGACGGGCGACGGAAAGCCGAAGUCUGCGGCGGCUUCUCCUCGUGUGAGCCUCACGGUGGACCAGCAGGACAGCUCUGCACCAGGAGGCUCGCUGAAGGGCAACACCUCCUCUCUCACGAGCCCACGCCACAGCGACCCGAACACCCCUCAGCGUCACCAUCGCAUUGACGUCGAUGGGCGAGAGCUGCCCUUCUUGGCGCAGAAGCCGAAGCUCGGCGUCACCACCAACCGCUUCGACUGCUGCAUGUGCCAAGACCUGUCCGCGGAGGCUCACUUUGCCGCAUCGCAGGCGCCCCGCUCGAAACUAAGCCGAAGCCCCUUCGAGUACCGUCUAGCGUCGCUGCAGCGGUGGUUGCGCAAGCGCAGUGUUGAAUCCGACAAAGACGGGCUUCUUGCCUCCUGUCUGUCGCUGGAGACGCAGCGCUACCUCGCCUACCUCGGCUUCGCAGACUGCUGGACAUCGCUCUUUGUCACCGCAGGACUGCCGAUGGUCAUGCCAGUGGCGGCCAGCUGUCCCUCGUCGCCACGCGAAGCGUCGCCGCGCCUUCCAACGACGCUCUCUGGAGCGGCAUCGCGCCUUGGCAGCGUGCCGCUCAGCUUUUACGUGUUGCCGGCGCUGUGUCGCUGGAAGUGUGUGACGCCGUUCCGCCGCGACAGGAUGCUGCGUGAGAGUGUGAUGCACCCCUUUCCGCUACCGGAGGUGUUCCUGCGGGACUGUAGAGGCGCGUCUCUGGCGCAGCUGCAGAGCCGUGCUGAGGCGAGUAAGGUGCAGGCGGCGUCGGCAGACGUGUCACACUCACUUUCGUCGCUGACCUUCUUCACCAUACAGCAGAGGUCAGCCCUGAAAGAGCGACGGCGCCCGUCUAUGUGGCGCAACCAAACGGCUUCUCUCGGUGAAUUUUGCGCGUGUGAUGUGUACCUUGUGGCAGCAGCAGGAAGGGGCGCCGGAGACGGUGCAGCGGCCGCAGACACUAUCGCGUCGGUGUGGGGCUAUGUAAAGAGGGAAGACGUCGACAGCCGUGCCCUUUCUCUGCCCUCUUCACCCUCGUCUGCGGCACAGAAGUGCAAAGACGGUCGAGAAGGCAACACGACAACAACCACCUCCGCCAAGUCGCCUUCCGGAGAGCUCUUCUACAUCGCCAGCAGUCUUGAGAACUAUCUUCGACUGGGCUUGGUGUUCGGGUGGGUGUAUGGGUGGCAGAUGUGCUUCUCGUCAGCCGGACCACCGCCCAACUCGGUGCUGUGGCUUCGCUUGGUGAACAGGUCCGCCUACGAGGCAGCACUGGCGGCAAGCAGACAUACGGCACCGUAGAGCUCUCUGUGCUGCUUGCUCUGAGUGUCUUUUCUUUCUCUCUGAUGGGAAAACCACGAGAAGUGUUUGGCUGAGGGCUGCCGGUGGAGAAGGAAGCUCCACCUACGCGCCAGAGCGUUUAUACGUGCAUGCGUGCUUUAUAUACCGAGCAGCGCAUAGAUGGGUCACAGAGCCGUGGCUCACCGAAGCUGCUUCUUUUGUGUCCAUGUUGGUAUUGUCGCGCCUUUACUGCACUGAUCCCCACUGAGGCGCUCCCUGCCUGCGCAACCACAAAUCUGUCGGUGAACGAGGGGCAUGACCCUUCUUGGUGUCCACCUGUUCGCUGUCUUCUCUUGUUUUGCUGGUCGUAUUGCACGAAACUGUGAAUCCCCUGCCGAUGAGUUACGCCGUCACUCUUUCUUUGGGUUAUUUGAGGGGAGGGGUUUGAGCGCUGCGUCUUUCUUCCUAAGCUCGGCGCAUGUGCUUGUGCCAGUGUUUUCUGAUCAAGAAAUCACCUGCAUGUUCUCAGAAGACGGUACCGCGAGUGCGCCUUUCAAUUCCCCCUCUGCCCCUCACUUCCCACUCUUGGCCCCGUUCCCACCCCUCACCCUCGACCCCCCCCUCCUCCCCCUCCACCUCCACCACCUUGGCUCAUUAG
rnacentral:misc_RNA from 1 species